rnacentral:rRNA from 1 species
CAGAGGGGGCAAGCGUUAUUCGGAAUUAUUGGGCGUAAAGGGCGCGUAGGCGGCCUUGCAAGUGACGGGUGAAAUCCCUCGGCUUAACCGAGGAACUGCCUGUCAGACUGCAUGGCUUGAGACCGGGAGAGGUGAGUGGAAUUCCCAGUGUAGCGGUGAAAUGCGUAGAUAUUGGGAGGAACACCAGUGGCGAAGGCGGCUCACUGGACCGGUACUGACGCUGAGGCGCGAAAGCGUGGGGAGCAAACAGGAUUAGAUACCCUGGUAGUCCACGCCGUAAACGAUGAGUGCUUGGUGUGGCGGGUAUCGACCCCUGCUGUGCCGAAGUCAACACAUUAAGCACUCCGCCUGGGGAGUACGGUCGCAAGGACUG